rnacentral:sRNA from 4 species
GGGGAAGGAUGAGAAGCUUCGACUAAGGUUCGAUUCGAGCGCAGCGAGAAAGCGUUGCCGCAGGCAACGACCCGAAGGGCGAAGCGCGCAGCGCUGAGUCAUCCUUCCCCCACCACCA